GGACGAAUAAAAAUGAAAUGUGUGGAGCAGAAGCCGAUGUACUGAACGGCAAGAAGGAAAAAGACACGUCGAUACCAUGGCGUCAGAACGCGAUGAAAUACAAGAUGUACUGGGGGGAAACCGUAAGCGGAAAAAACUGGUGCACCUUGUCAUCAGGUCAUUCCUCAAUGAAAUACAGAACACACGAUACCACUAGACUUGAG